GUGCUUGCUUCAUCAGCACAUAUACUGAAAUUGAGAUGAUACAGAGAAGAUUAGCAUGGCCCCUGUGCAAGGAUGACACGCAAAUUCAUGAAGUGUUCCAUAUUUUU